CCUACGGGAGACAGCAGUGGGGAAUAUUGCGCAAUGCGCGAAAGCGUGACGCAGCGACGCCGCGUGAAGGAUGAAGGCCUUCGGAUCGUAAAACUCUUUCAACAGGGAAGAACGUUCCUUCAAGUAACCAUUUGUGAAUUGACGGUACCUGCAUAGGCAGCCCCGGCUAACUCCGUGCCAGCAGCCGCGGUAAUACGGAGGGGGCGAGCGUUAAUCGGAGUGACUGGGCGUAAAGCGCACGUAGGCGGUAUGGUAAGUCAUGAGUGAAAGCCCCGCGCUCAACGUUAGUAAUGCCAUUGAUACUGGCAAACUGGAGUAUGUGAGAGGAGUGCGGAAUUCCUGGUGUAGCGGUGAAAUGCGUAGAUAUCAGGAGGAAUAUCGGUAGCGAAGGCGGCUAUCUGGCACGUAACUGACGCUGAGGUGCGAAAGCGUGGGUAGCAAACAGGAUUAGAUACCCUAGUAGUC
rnacentral:rRNA from 1 species